CGAACGCUGGCGGCGUGCUUACCACAUGCAAGUCGACCGGCAAGGCCUGCUUUCCCUUGUGGAUUGCGGGUACUCGAGUGGCGAACGGGUGAGUAACACGCGAGUGAUCUGCCCCCAACUUGGGUAUAAGCCUGGGAAACUGGGUCUAAUUCCCGAUAGGACUGCAGGGUGGUGCCUGUGGUGGAAAACGAUUUUCUAGUGGUUGGGGAUGAGCUCGCGGCCUAUCAGCUUGUUGGUGGGGUAAUGGCCUACCAAGGCGGCGACGGGUAGCCGGCCUGAGAGGGUGGACGGCCACAUUGGGACUGAGAUACGGCCCAGACUCCUACGGGAGGCAGCAGUGGGGAAUAUUGCACAAUGGGCGGAAGCCUGAUGCAGCGACGCCGCGUGGGGGAUGACGGCCUUCGGGUUGUAAACUCCUUUCGACCGCGAGGAAGCCACCUGGUUGGAAGGGUGGUGACGGUAGUGGUAGAAGAAGCACCGGCUAACUACGUG
rnacentral:rRNA from 1 species